rnacentral:rRNA from 1 species
UAAUACUGGAUAGGCAAUUUUUCCUGUAAUGGUUUUUGUUUAAAUGUUUUUUCGCCUAAGGAUGGGUCUGCGGCCGAUUAGGUAGUUGGUUAGGUAAUGGCUUACCAAGCCUUUGAUCGGUACGGGUUGUGAGAGCAAGAGCCCGGAGAUGGAACCUGAGACAAGGUUCCAGGCCCUACGGGGUGCAGCAGGCGCGAAACCUCCGCAAUGUGAGAAAUCGCGACGGGGGGAUCCCAAGUGCCAUUCUUAACGGGAUGGCUUUUCAUUAGUGUAAAGAGCUUUUGGAAUAAGAGCUGGGCAAGACCGGUGCCAGCCGCCGCGGUAACACCGGCAGCUCUAGUGGUAGCAAUUUUUAUUGGGCCUAAAGCGUCCGUAGCCGGUUUAAUAAGUCUCUGGUGAAAUCCUGUAGCUUAACUGUGGGAAUUGCUGGAGAUACUAUUAGACUUGAGACCGGGAGAGGUUAGAGGUACUCCCAGGGUAGAGGUGAAAUUCUGUAAUCCUGGGAGGACCGCCUGUUGCGAAGGCGUCUAACUGGAGCGGUUCUGAUGGUGAGGGACGAAAGUUAGGGGCGCGAACCGGAUUAGAUACCCGGGUAGUCCUAACUGUAAACGAUGCGGACUUGGUGUUG